ensembl:snRNA U4 U4 spliceosomal RNA
CUUCUUUCGCAGAGGCAAUAUUGUAGCCUAUGAGGUUUAUCCAAGGCGCGAUCAUUGCUGGUUGAAAACUUUACCCAAUACCCC